rnacentral:rRNA from 1 species
GACAACCUGGUUGAUCCUGCCAGUAGUCAUAUGCUUGUCUCAAAGAUUAAGCCAUGCAUGUCUCAGUACAAGCCAAAUUAAGGUGAAACCGCGAAAGGCUCAUUAAAUCAGUUAUGGUUCCUUAGAUCGUACCAACAUUUACUUGGAUAACUGUGGUAAUUCUAGAGCUAAUACAUGCAAACAGAGCUUCGACCGGAGACGGAAGAGGCGCUUUUAUUAGAUCAAAACCAAUCGGCGGCGGGUUCGCUUGCGGGCUCGUCGUCGUUUUCACUGACGAAUCUGAAUAACUUUCUGCUGAUCGCACGGUCUCGCACCGGCGACGCAUCUUUCAAAUGUCUGCCUUAUCAACUGUCGAUGGUAGGUUCUGUGCCUACCAUGGUUGUAACGGGUAACGGGGAAUCAGGGUUCGAUUCCGGAGAGGGAGCCUGAGAAACGGCUACCACAUCCAAGGAAGGCAGCAGGCGCGCAAAUUACCCACUCCCGGCACGGGGAGGUAGUGACGAAAAAUAACGAUACGGGACUCAUCCGAGGCCCCGUAAUCGGAAUGAGAACAAUUUAAAUCCUUUAACGAGGAUCAAUUGGAGGGCAAGUCUGGUGCCAGCAGCCGCGGUAAUUCCAGCUCCAAUAGCGUAUAUUAAAGUUGUUGCGGUUAAAAAGCUCGUAGUCGAAUCUGUGUCCCGCGCCGCCGGUUCGUCGCUCGCGGCGUUUAACUGGCGUGUCCGCGGGACGUCCUGCCGGUGGGCUUAGCCUUUUCAUUAAGGCGGCCCAAUCUUAAUCCCGCCGCGGUGCUCUUCACCGAGUGUCGAGGCGGGCCGGCACGUUUACUUUGAACAAAUUAGAGUGCUUAAAGCAGGCUAAAACUUCGCCUGAAUACUUCGUGCAUGGAAUAAUGGAAUAGGACCUCGGUUCUAUUUUGUUGGUUUUCGGAACCCCGAGGUAAUGAUUAAUAGGAACGGAUGGGGGCAUUCGUAUUGCGACGUUAGAGGUGAAAUUCUUGGAUCGUCGCAAGACGGACAGAAGCGAAAGCAUUUGCCAAAAACGUUUUCAUUGAUCAAGAACGAAAGUUAGAGGUUCGAAGGCGAUCAGAUACCGCCCUAGUUCUAACCAUAAACNAUGCCAGCUAGCGAUCCGCCGACGUUCCUNCNAUGACUCGGCGGGCAGCUUCCGGGAAACCAAAGCUUUUGGGUUCCGGGGGAAGUAUGGUUGCAAAGCUGAAACUUAAAGGAAUUGACGGAAGGGCACCACCAGGAGUGGAGCCUGCGGCUUAAUUUGACUCAACACGGGAAACCUCACCAGGCCCGGACACCGGAAGGAUUGACAGAUUGAGAGCUCUUUCUUGAUUCGGUGGGUGGUGGUGCAUGGCCGUUCUUAGUUGGUGGAGCGAUUUGUCUGGUUAAUUCCGAUAACGAACGAGACUCA